rnacentral:lncRNA from 1 species
CAUGCGCCACCAUGCCUGGCUAAUUUUGUAUUUUUAGUAGAGAUGGGAUUUCUCCAUGUUGGUCGGGCUGGUUUCAAACUCCCAACCUCAGGUGGUCCGCCUGCCUCAGCCUCCCAAAUUAAAUGCCUUAAAAAAUGUUCACAUUAUUUAACCAAAAGACACAACAUCAUUUGGUAAUUAAAAAUUUAUUCAAUUUUUCUUGACAAUAUUUGUUAAACACUUACUACAUGCUUGGUACUAUGCUAAUUGCUAAAGAGUCAAUGAUUUUGAAAACAAGUGCUCAACGUUUUGGGGGAGAAUUUUUAUUGAUUAGCUGCCAUGAAAUCACUCAUCAUACUUCUGGUAAGCUGCCAUCUGAAGAGGCAUGAAAAAGUUCCGUGGUGUCUGCUGAGUGUUCUCGGUUAAUCCAGUCCAAAUUAAUUCCCACCCAUACUUUCUUACUUUAUAUUUUACACAGUGUUCACCCUUAGAGAUGACAAACACAGCUGAUAAAAACUUAGUAUAAAGGCUGAAUCAUGAGGCCAGGAAGUUAAAAGAAGCAGGUAUCUUUGAGUAAGAUAUUUUCAUCCUCAAAUCAAGUCUACCAGGCACAUCAAGAAUAUUUGAUAUCAGCAUCAUAAUUUUGCGUUUUUGAAUAAACUUUGUAAUUAUAUUACUUGUAAUACAUUUUCCAAAGAAGAAAACUAAACACUGCCAAAUGGUAAGAUAAUAAUAAUAAAAGGUACAAUCCUAUUAUUUAAACUAAAUUGUGAAUAUCUAUAUAAGUAAAAAUGUUUGAGCAUUUAUUUAUUUGGUUAGCAUUUUCCUAUGGAAGUGUAUACAUUGUUCAUAUUAUGGAGAAAUCUCACAGGAAGAACCCCACAAUUGUCUUGGUUUUAACCUCCUUAUACAGAAAUUUAGAUUUAUAUUUUUCUCUUGAUUCAAAUUAUUUUCCCUCAGAAUUCAAAUUACAUAUAUUUUCACAACUAAAAUUCUGACUCACUUUUCUACUUUUUCCCCUUAUAAUUUAUAUUUUGGCAGGUUGAGCAAUUGGUGUGGUAACUGCUCAAUGCAGCCCUCCUGCUGAAAUGAGGAUCCUGCUGAAAGAACCGGGUAGUACACCAACCACUCACUUCGCCAGUUCACUUUUUUAGCAGAAUAAUAGCCACGAGUCAAUGAGAAACUGCUAAAACUACUAAUGUCUUCUCCCAAACAAGAAAAUCAAUCUCCGUAAUGCAAGAGACCUAUUUCAAAAGAUAAAAUUACCACACUAAAUAUUUUAGAGAAUAAAAAUACAAGCCACAUUUAAAACCAUUUUAAAAAUAGCCAUAUUCAUGGUGAACACCAUGUACUCUUGCUAUAAAUAUAAAAAAUCUUCAUGAUAAUGAAUUAUAAAUUGAAAGGGGUUAAUUUUUUGAAAAAGUAAGCCUAACAAAAAAUAACUGUUCAAAAUUAUUCAAUAUAUAUUCUGUAUAAAAUAAUUUUUAAAAUUUUUUUUGCAAUAGGAAAAUUUGAAAAUCAGACCUUAGCCAAAAGUUCAAAGUUAGCAUAACUAAUAGUGGGACAACUUGAAAUUAUGCAGCUCAUAAAGCAAUGCAAUAUAAUGUAUACACAAUGAUGUUUAAUUUG